ensembl:lncRNA
AUACAUAUGUCACGAAGUGACUUUGAGGGCGGAACCAAAAGUGAGAGGAGAAGUUCCGCCCGGACCGAAAUGUGUAAGCCCUUGUCACUUCCGGAAACUCCGGACGCCCCAAAUCAAGGGAAAUCUUCAGCAGGUGUGUUCAAUGACGUGGCGAUUGCAGACGGGGCAGUUUGGGAGUAUAAAGAGAGCAUUGAGGAUACAGGAAGGAGUGUUGUUUUGCCUCCCAAGGAACGCCACGAGUGAGACGGAGUGUUUUGGGCGCUGGAGUAGGGCGAAGCAGAUGAGAGCAAUUGUGGAGUCGCUAAGCGAAUUGGAGGAUUUGAAAACGGCUACUGGAACAGGUUUGCCAAAGCGAAGUUUGUGGAAAGAAGUCGUACUCACCCGUGUCUGUUGUAUGAAGGUUCCGCAGGGAAAUAGUGCCAUUGUGGAACAACGAAAACACUUCCGGGCGUCUGUACGAAGCUGGGGAGAGAAAGAGAGCGGGAGAAGAUCAGUAUCACGACGACUGUGAGUACAUUGGAUUGCUUAUAUCGUUGUUUAUAUCUGGAUGAGAAAGAGAGCGGGAGAAGAUCAGUAUCACGAAGACUGUGAGUACAUUGGAUUGUUUACAUAUCAUUGCUCAUACUUGGAUAUGGAUAACUAAUAUCUGCUGGAGUGAUUAACAGCUUGUUGAGUGGCCCCAUCGUGGAGGACGAGACGAGUGGGUGAGCCGAAGUAGAGUGGGGGUGAAUGGAUGUUAUUUGGCUGUGGCCACACCGUAAAGUUUGGAGCACUUACCGUGCCAGCGACUGUAAACUCCUCCAGGACGAAAUCCGACCGGGCGUGGAGUACCGACCUUAAAAGUCACUGAAGUGUGUGUAGUGCAGUGGGUGAGUCUGUCUUUGACGUGUGUACACCGAAGUUUUGCAGUGCUGUGCCGUGUCCCUGUUGUCUGUACUCGCCCUCCAGGCCGAGAAAAGUUCCUGUUGGAGAGAACGUAGGCUGCCGUGGCGGUGCCCACCUAUCCCACCUACGCCCGCCUAUAACUCCGUUCCCCGUACCUAGCCUGAAGGAGGUGAAGCGUGAAUGCAAAACAAGGGACUUGUGUGUUACUUUGUACUUACCUAGGAGGUCUAUGGGAGUGGAGGAGCUGUCCAGACGCUGGAGAAGAGAAGGGCGCCACGGGAAAUCAAGCCGCUAAGGAAGGACUUAGGAUCAGUCAGGAGAUUGGUGGGAGUUCUGUGAAAGGACGAAAGAGCCCUUUGCCCCCCGUGAUAACUUACCAACGACCUCCAGAUUUCUCAGGCCCAG